rnacentral:rRNA from 1 species
AGCGAACGCUGGCGGCAGGCCUAACACAUGCAAGUCGAACGGACCCUUCGGGGUUAGUGGCGGACGGGUGAGUAACACGUGGGAACGUGCCUUUAGGUUCGGAAUAACUCAGGGAAACUUGUGCUAAUACCGAAUGUGCCCUUCGGGGGAAAGAUUUAUCGCCUUUAGAGCGGCCCGCGUCUGAUUAGCUAGUUGGUGAGGUAAAGGCUCACCAAGGCGACGAUCAGUAGCUGGUCUGAGAGGAUGACCAGCCACAUUGGGACUGAGACACGGCCCAAACUCCUACGGGAGGCAGCAGUGGGGAAUCUUGCGCAAUGGGCGAAAGCCUGACGCAGCCAUGCCGCGUGAAUGAUGAAGGUCUUAGGAUUGUAAAAUUCUUUCACCGGGGACGAUAAUGACGGUACCCGGAGAAGAAGCCCCGGCUAACUUCGUGCCAGCAGCCGCCGUAACAC